CUUUUUCUUAUAGCUUUGUUUUUUAAAAGCCGGUUAACAUAAAGUUUGAGAAAAAUGUCUUCUCUUACAUCUGUAAUACCUAAACUCUAUCAGGAGUAUACAACUAAAACAUCCAAGAAAUUAAAGAUUAUUGAUGCCUAUUUAUUUUACAUAUUUUUAACAGCUGUAAUACAAUUCGUGUAUUGUUGCCUCGUCGGGACUUUUCCUUUCAAUUCUUUCUUAAGCGGAUUUAUUUCUACAGUUAGCUCAUUCGUUCUGGGCGUUUGCCUACGGCUGCAAGUGAAUCCCGAGAACAAAAAUGAAUUUCAGGGUUUGAGUGCUGAGCGUGGAUUUGCUGACUUUAUCUUCGCGCAUCUUGUACUGCACAUAGUGGUUAUCAACUUUAUUGGUUAAAAUAUUAUAACAAUAAAUAAUUACAUAAUUAAAUAUUGUCUAAUUGA